rnacentral:rRNA from 1 species
CUCGACACUUAUGAGAGGUCCAGCCUGCCCAGUGACCAAGUUCAACGGCCGCGGUAUCCUAACCGUGCGAAGGUAGCGUAAUCACUUGUUCUUUAAAUGAGGACUAGUAUGAAUGGCACCACGAGGGCUAUACUGUCUCCUUUUUUUAAUCAAUGAAACUGAUCUCCCCGUGAAGAAGCGGGGAUAAACCUAUAAGACGAAAAGACCCUAUGGAGCUUCAAACAACGAUAGCACUGGCCCCCAUUUUUUAUCCUCGAGAGAUACCACCAUUAUACUGGCCAAGAUGCCUAUCAGUUUUAGGUUGGGGUGACCGCGGAGCAAAAACCAACCUCCACGUUGAACGGAACUACUCCUGAGCCAAAAGCUACAACUUUAAGCAUCAACAAACUGACAUUAAUUGACCCAACAUGUUGAUCAACGAAC